CACGUACCGAAUGAGAUAAAUUCAAUUUUAAAUGACCUUUCAAAUUAGUUUGGUACCUACACUCCACGUUUGAUUACAGUUGGAAUGCACUUUGCAGCCCAUUAUUACUGAUUGAGAUCUGAAAGACUCAUUGGACUUGGCACUGAAAUAAAAUAUGAUCUUUUGUUGUCAAAAAUCUACAGAAAAAUAAUAUUGAAGAAAUUGGGAAUACUGUUUCACUUGGGAAGACUGCGGAGUGAUAUGAUGUCACUUUUAGAAAGAGUCCCACACAGAAGAAAGUCAAGACAUAUUCUCCAUUGGACUUCCAGCUAAAGAGGUUGGAUCACUGCAGAGAAUGUCCUCAAGUCCCAUAUUGAAUAAGCAUCCCUGAAGAUGAUCACAGUCACUGUUGUUGUUGAGAUCAGUUGUCCACAAAGGAGGUUAAAAAAAUAAAGUUUCUUUCAAGUCAACUCAGUAAUGUUUUUGACCAUGAUACAGAAGUGAUUUGACAUUGCUUCCUUCAGGAUUUUUUUAAAAUUUUUUUCCAGUCUAUCCUAUAAUCCUGGUCUUUUCUAAUGGAUUCCCAUUCAAAUACUACCUAAAUCUGAUUCUGGUAUUAACAAGGCCAGAUAUUUUUAUUUCUAAUCCACAGCUUAAUCCUAAAGAUGAACAAAGUAACCACUAACUAUUUUUUUAGAAUAGAAUAGAGCUGGAAGGGACCUUGGAGGUCUUCUAGUCUAGCCCCCUGCUCGAGCAUUUGAAUACAUUACAUUGUAUUACAUUAAACUAGAAAGUGAUAGCUUUCAUUGUUGAAUACUAUGCACCAUUCCUGUUGUGCAUGCUGUGUUCAACCAUCAAAUGGCUUAAAUAAGUAAAAUAAAUUGUGCCAGCAAAGUGCAAAUUUAUUACAAGAGCAAGUGUUCUAAUUCUACCACAUUUCUAAAAACAAUGUUUUUAAAUUUGAAAUAAGGUUACAUUCAAGAUCCUCCCAGAGGAUCUAUUUGUUUACAGGGCAGAUGUAAACAUAUGUAUAAGUCCCCAACUGUGUAGCGAAUCUAAACUCUGUUAGAUAGUGACUUAUUCCAGCAAAUUUCUUCUUAAAUUCUGAACUCUCUGUGAUAAUGGCAUUCUUUCUGGCUUUUAACCACAGUUCACAUUUAAUUUAAGCCAGUGAAAGUAAGGUGAUUAACCGUCCUCCUUUAGGGAGGU